CUCUGGCCACUGCAUGAAGCUAAAAGGCUUCCGGGCUCAGGAAAGUGAAACUAGCUUGCAGCUUCUGUUCCCAUCUGGGGAGGGGCCAUGGCUGCCUGGGAUUUUGCAGGGAGCUUCAAGGAAGAAGCAACUUGCUCGGUGUGCCUGGACUAUUUUACAGAUCCAGUGACUAUUGACUGUGGGCACAACUUUUGCCGCACCUGCAUCAGUGAGUGCUGGGGAGGCUCGGGGCCAAACUUCUGCUGCCCCCAGUGCAGGGAAACACACCAACAGCAAAACCUCCGGCCCAACAGGCAACUGGGGAACAUGGUUGAGCUGGUGAAACGACUGAGGCUGCAGGUGGGGAAAGAGCCCAAGGGGCAGCGUGUGUGUGAGAAGCACCAGGAGGCUCUGAAGCUCUUCUGCAAGGAAGACGAAGCCCUGAUCUGCGUGGUGUGUGAUCGAUCCAGGGAGCACCGAGCUCACACUGUGGUUCCCCUGGAGGAGGCUGCCCAGGACUACAAGGAGCAAAUCCUAAGCCGCCUGGAGCAUCUGAGGGAGCAGAGGGAUAAGCUGCAGGGCUUGAAGUUUGCGUGGGAGCAGGAGAGUGAAAGGUUCCUGAGGCAGACGGAGCUGGAGAGGCAGUGGGUGAUGUUUGAGUGCAAGGGCCUGCGCCAGCUCCUGGCUGAACACGAGAGCCUUCUGCUGGCCCGGCUGGGAGAGCUGGACGAGGAGAUUGUGAUGAGGAGGGAGGAAAAUGUUGCCCGCCUGUGCGAGGAGACUGCCCGCCUGAGGGCCCUGAUCACAGAGCUGGAGGGGAAGUGUCAACAGCCAGCGCAUGAGCUCCUGCAGGGUGUCAGAAGCGCCGUGAACAGGGGUGAGGAGGUGACAUCUCUGCAUCCAGCCCCUGAAUUCCUGGAGCUGGAGAAGAGAAUCUGGGAUUUUCCUAGUGCGAACAAGCUCCAGGAGGCUGUGACAGGAUUUCUGGAGCGGCUCACUCUGGACAGAGGAUACAGAAGAGACCGAGCACAUGCAAUGGAUGUGACUCUGGACCCAGACACGGCUCAUCCCUACCUCAUCCUGUCUGAGGAUCGGAAAAGUGUGAGAGAAGGAGGCACACGACAGGAUGUACCUGACAACCCUGAGAGAUUUGAUACUUAUGUAAAUGUCCUUGGCUCUGAGAGGUUCAUGGGUGGCAGACACUACUGGGAGGUGGAGGUGGGAGACAAGAGGCGCUGGGGUCUGGGGGUGUGCAGGGAGUCUGUGUGCAGGAAGGGGGACAUCAUAUGCAAACCUGACAAUGGAUACUGGACCUUGUGGCUGCGGGACAGGGGAUACAAGGCCAGCGCCUCUUGCAGAAUUCCCCUCUCCGUGCGUGUGAGACCCAUGCGGGUGGGGGUUUUCCUGGACUACGAGGCAGGCAAGGUUUCAUUUUAUAAUGUGACUGACAGGUCCCAUCUCUUCACCUUCAACGACAACUUCUCUGGGACCCUGUGCCCUUAUUUCAGUCCUUGUCUCAAUGACGGGGGCACAAAUGCAGGUCCCUUGACCAUCUGCCCGGUCUCACCCAGCCCUGACCCUGACCCUGACCCUGACGCACACAGCGUUGGCCAUCUCCUCCCAGCUCCGGCCCAGCUCUCAGCCCCUUUUUUGCCCCCAGGAGUGGGGCAGGGGCCUGCAGAGGAGCAGGGCAAAGCCGGGGCUUUCCCUUCUUGAUGCCAUCUCCCCCAUAUUUCUCUGGCUCCUGGCUGGGGCAGUUUGGCCAUCGCUGUGUUUGGGUUUUGUGUGAGCAGCUUUAACAGCCAGCACCACAGAUUGCUGGGAACAACCCAAGAUAAAAGCCCCUUUACACCCCAACACCUGCACUGUCCUGGGCCAGAGACUGCCUAUAUGACCCCAUUGCAGUCUCUGUGCCGCUGCCUGCUGCUGCAGGGUCUGUGGGACCUCCUGAUGGCCUGGGACAGGAAGGGCCUCAUUUGCAGCCAGCCGCUGCCCCAGAGAGCUGGGUGCGGGGGAGAAAGACAGAGCUCCACAUGUCCCUGUCUCCAUGAUGAUACACUGCCGGACUGUUUUUUGGCCCCACAGGGUCAGCAUUACCCACAUGUCAUUACAAAGGGAUUAUAGGAUAUGUUGGUUCUUGUUUCCUUUUUCAUGUAAGAGUUGUGUAGGUAGUGGCUGACGCUCUGCAGAUUGCUGCAUUUGCCAGCUAUGGAAGGUACAUGGGGCAGAUGGGAGAUCUUGCUAGCUGGGUGGGCAGGUGGCAGCAGGUCUCUCUAAUAGAAGGCUGUCUGUUACCGUUACUUUUGGUAAAUGUGUCUGGACCCCAGCUCUGACAUUUGAUAAAGCUAUCAACUAACCAACUGCUUGUAGGUUAA